rnacentral:tRNA from 2 species
GUGCGCAUAGCUCAGCUGGAUAGAGCGUCUGGCUACGGACCAGAAGGCCGAGGGUUCAAAUCCUUCUGCGCACGCUA